rnacentral:rRNA from 1 species
AUUGAACGCUAGCGGGAUGCCUUACACAUGCAAGUCGAACGUAGUGGCGAACGGGUGAGUAAUGUAUCGGAACGUGCCCAGUAGCGGGGGAUAACUACGCGAAAGCGUAGCUAAUACCGCAUACUAUUGGAGCGGCCGAUAUCGGAUUAGCUAGUUGGUGGGGUAACGGCUCACCAAGGCGACGAUCCGUAGCGGGUUUGAGAGGACGACCAGCAACAGUGGGAUGGGGACACGGCACAUACUCCGACGGGAGGCAGCAGGGGGGUAUUUUGGACAAUGGGAGAAACCCUGAUCCAGCCAUCCCGCUUGUGCGAAGAAGGCCUACGGGUUGUAAGGCACUUUUGGCAGGAAAGCGGUACCUGCAGAAUAAGCACCGGCUAACUACGUGCCAGCAGCCGCGGUAAUAC